rnacentral:rRNA from 1 species
GACGAACGCUGGCGGCGUGCCUAACACAUGCAAGUCGUGCGAGAAAGCCCCUUCGGGGGUGAGUACAGCGGCGGACGGGUGAGUAACACGUGAGUGAUCUACCCGGCGGCGGGGGACAACCCAGGGAAACCUGGGCUAAUACCGCAUACAGCGGAGGGAGUAGGUGCCCUUCGUGAAAGCUGGCCUCUCCAUGGAAGCUAGCGUCGCCGGAGGAGCUCGCGGCCUAUCAGCUAGUUGGUGGGGUAACGGCCUACCAAGGCUAUGACGGGUAGCUGACGUGAGAGCGUGAGCAGCCACACUGGGACUGAGACACGGCCCAGACUCCUACGGGAGGCAGCAGUGGGGAAUAUUGCGCAAUGGGCGAAAGCCUGACGCAGCGACGCCGCGUGGGGGAGGAAGGCCCUAGGGUUGUAAACCCCUGUCAGGUGGGACGAACCCCGGGUCGGUUAAUAAUCGGCUCGACUGACGGUACCACCAGAGGAAGCUCCGGCUAACUCCGUG